ensembl:snRNA U6 U6 spliceosomal RNA
GUGCUCACUUGGACAGCAUAUAUACUAAAAUCGAAUGAUACAGAGAUUAGCAUGGCCCCUGCACAUGAAUGACAUGCAAAUUUGUGAAGCGUUCCAUAUUUUU